rnacentral:rRNA from 1 species
CACGAAACAGGGCGAGCUAACCAAUAAUAAUUAUUAGAUUAUAAAAUGUUGCAUAAUUAAAUAAAUUGUUGGUUAGUAGUGAGAUACUUUCACGUAUUGUGAUAACUUGUUACCUUUUAAAAAUAUUAAGUAUUAGUUAAAUAAUUAAGAAGUGAUAAGAUUUCUUAAUAUUUAUUAAUUUAUAUUAUACGUGUUUUUAUGAUGUAAUUACCAACUAUAAAUUAAAUUAAAUAUAUAUAAUAUUAGAAUUAUAUAAAAUAAAAGGUUUCAUAUAUAAUAAAUAAACCUGUAGAUAAUGUUACCAUAAGUAUAAUUAAAUAAAUACUAUUAAUGAACUCGGCAAUAUUUUUUUCAACUGUUUAUCAAAAACAUAGUCAGUAGUUAUAAUUAUUGAUAUUUUCUGCUCAAUGAGAAUUAAAUGGCCGCAGUACCCUGACUGUGCUAAGGUAGCAUAAUCAUUUGGCUUCUAAUUAGAGUCUGGUAUGAAUGAAUAUAUGGGGAAAAGCUGUAUGUUUAGUAUAAUUAAAAAUUACUUAAUAAGUGCAAAUACUUAUUUAUAAAUAAUAGACGAGAAGACCCUAGAAAUUUUAAGAAUUAAAAAUACAAAGGUUUUUGUUGGGGCAACAAUGUAACAAUUAAACUUAUAUAUUAACAAGAAAGUAAUAGAAAGAAUAAAUUACUCUAGGGAUAACAGCGUAAUGUUUAAUCGUUUGCGACCUCGAUGUUGGACUAGGAAUUAUAAGCCCAGAA